rnacentral:lncRNA from 1 species
AUGGAAGGCAGAAAUGGUUCUUCUUUACAGCUGCUACUGUUCCACUCACCCAUAGCUGCAUUGACUUCUCUUCCUAUGAGAAGUCAAUGCAUACUUUCCAUAGACUGGUCCAGUUCAGAUUCACUUCCGUGGACAUUGAGUUGGACAUUUGAUGUACGGGGUGCCUUUCACCGCUUCUCUUAUGAUUUAUUUUACAAAGGCUGAUCAUCCUUUGGGAUCUUUUAAGACUAUAUUAAAAUCAUAGUGCAAUUGCCAUUCGCUAUUCUCUUGAUUUAGAUGAGUCAGUCACUCUAAAGCAGUGGUUCUCAACCUGUGGGUCAACAGGUGUUUUAGCCUACAACUCCCAGAAAUCCCAGCCAGUUUACCAGCUGUUAGGAUUUCCAGGAUUUGAAGGCCAAAACAUCUGGGGACCCACAGGUUGAGAACUACUGCCCUAAAGUAUAUACUUAUCUCUAUUUAGGAGAAUAGACAAUACGAUACAUUUCAUGCAAAAGGAAAAUGUAUACGGCGUCUUCUUUUAGUUAGAUAUCCCUUUCUACAUUGGAUGAGGAAGUUUUAGUUUGGGUUUGUAUCAGUGCCAUAUCGGAACAGUAGCAUGUGAAUGUUUGACAGAUGAUCACCAAAAACUGACUAAUUUCAUUGCCAAGGUGGUUAAAUAUGUCUGACAGAAGGAAAAGUGAACUUGAAACUGAUAAAAAUUUGUACAGGUGUGACUUUGAGAACUGCCUAGGUUACUACUGAUCAGGGAAUACAGACCACUAUCAUGGUAACCAUGUGAGGUACACAACUUGAUUCCAGAGAAAAUGAAAUGUAAAAAGCACAGACUUACAUUAUCUUUACAAAGUCAGGGACUACACCAGAUUUGAGCCCCCCAUGGCACAGCAUGUUAAAGUGCUGAGCUGCUGAACUUGUGGACUGAAAGGUCGCAGAUUCGAAUCUGAGUAGUGGAGUGAGCGCCCGCUUUUAGCCCCAGCUUCUGCCAACCAAACAGUUUGAAUACAUGCAAAUGUGAAUAGAUCAAUAGGUACCACUCUGG